CCAAAAAAGAAUAUUUGAAGUCUUUGCUCAGGCUUUGCCUGCUGAAACACCACUAUGAGUAGUAUGUUUAUCUGUUGUUCAAUUCAUCGCAGACUUCAGAAGUGCUUUGUAAGAUUUUGUCUGAGAUGUUGUUUGCAUAUAUUUUUCUUUUUGUUCAUAAACCAUAGUUUUAAUGUACAUAUGUUUUCCUCCUGAAAUUUUGGGAAUCAUUUUAAACUAACCAGGAACUUUAUUAUUCAACAUGGUGUGACCUAAUAGAUGAAUUUCUUUAACUUGUUGCUAGGAUAAAAUGUGAUGUGUCACAAUUCAUUGAUUCCAGAUUCUCAGCAGAAAGUUAUCUGGAAAGCAGUAGUGUAGCAGCAGAAUUGCAUCUCGGCUGCUGCGAGGAGGCAAAGCUCAAGAACAUGUUGAAGAGUCCCACGGAUGACAACAGAACACCCUAGAACUUCCUCUUGUAGAACAGGAGGCCGAAUCAGGAAGGUCUGCUGGAGGAGAAUGGAUCACAUUCCAGGCGAAGAUGAUGGCCCCGGUAUCACUUUGGUCACCACGCAGCAGUGAUUCAAUCUUGGAGACGCCGACUUCCCGUGUGAGCUCCCGACUGCCGGAGCAAGGGUAGGAAACAGUGUGUGCUGAACAGUAGACUGAAUAGUUCGCCCCCAGAGAAGGGGUGCCCUAGCUCUGAGCUGCAGGCUCCUCUGGAAGAGGGAAGAGCUCAGAUAGGCGGGAUUUUCAAAGACUGCAGGUCUUCCACAAGGGCUGCAGAAGGUGCUUGCAGCUUCUGAUGUACAUGGGUGACAGGACCAUCGUACAGUCAAUCAGAGAACAGCAGGCAGCAGCAGCAGCAGCAGCAGCAGCAGCAGCAGCAGCAGCAGCAGCAGCAGCAGCAGCAGCAGCAGCAGCAGAGGAGCAGGGUGCAGGAUUGGACCAGGCUGGAGCGCAGCGGAGCCUGGGACCCUGCACCGUGCCCUGAGCCAGCACCUGCAGAACCAGGCGAGCCUCGAAACGGAGGCUGCUCCCUCGCCACUGUCAACAGGGAAAGACGAACAUCCGAAACAACAUUGAACUAGCGCUGUUUUCUGAAACAGAAACAGAAAAAAUAAAACAACAUGGAGCAAUAUUAUAAGCAAAUUGUUGAGAAACAGAAACUUGUAAAAAUAAAAUUGCAAACAUAGGCAGAGGUUCCAAAAAUGAAGAAUACAAAAACGUCAAAAAUAAAAAUGCCACCACUGUUCAGGAUACCAGCACUAAAUUCUCUGCUCCCAAAAUGACAGGAAAGAUUUGGAUGGAUUUUGAAAAUUUAUCUCUGCUGUCCUGCAGAAUAAAAACAUCCUGGAAAAAAAUUCAAGCUUCCAAAUCAAUGAAGACACCUUGUCACCAUUCAAGACAAUAGGGAACAUGGCCACAAUGGCCAGAAGAUGCAAGAGCUUCAUUCCGGGCCUUGAAGAACUUUCAGCCUUCAACUGGUGCCCCUAACAGCAGCCAGGUCAUCCUAGGGAGAUGCAGGAGAGGGCAGCUGCUCUCAACAUAAGUGUCAGAGGCAGAGUUGGGUAUCUUGUGUAAAGGAAGAGAGGAGGAAUUCGUUGAACACUGGGGUGAUUAUGUAGCAAAUUUGUUCAAGAUGCGGUCAGAUAGCUGCAGGGUAGGAGCAUUUGUGAAAAAGAUGCACCUUUGAAGAGGAUCACAAUGAGAGGUGUCAAAUUGUUUUUCCUGCAGCAAUGGGUUAUAGCAUUUUAUAAAGAGUUCAUUAUAUCCACUUACAUGUACACAUCACAUUUGUGUAUCUAUCCAUAAAUAAGCUCACACUUACACACCAAAUCCAUGUAUUUAUAUGCACAUAUGUAGGUGUAGCUAUCGAACUGGUUAAUGCUAUCAUACUAACAUACCUAAUAUAGAGAUCAUAGCUACAUGGUUAGUUCUGAUCAUAUGUAGGUAUUGUACUAUGAAGAAAUACAAAACAGUGUUCCACUGAAUUUGAACCUCAUAUCAGAAAAUACUAUAUUUAAUUAAAUUAUUAACAUUGUGUUUUAAACAUCAAGGCAUUUGUGACUCUCUGCGAAAUGUUUAUUAUGGUCCAGGGGUUGCCACAAGAAGGAAUUUGUUCAUUGCUGGUGUAAGAAAAACAGUGUGAAUUCAGUUUGAAGGUCUGCUUCUGGUACUUAGUAUUAUAAUCUUCCACAAACUAACCAGACAGACAUCUAUAAAAUGAAAAUGUUGAGUGAAAUAAAUUAUUUGUCCCUAUCUUUCUUAUAAUUGCAUGAUUAACACAUAUUUGUAAAUAUACACUGAUUUUCCAAAUUCACCUAUUUAACAAUUUUGCAUUUAUACAUUUAAGAAGAAAAAAAGUCAAAUGUUGA